UGCUCCCACUUCUCUCCCCAGCACCUCCCUGGCAGGAGACAUCCCAAGUCCUCUGCCAUGGUCACGUCGCCACCGGGGUCACUGGGACGUGGCUCAUCCUGCACCAGCAGAGCCACGGGCACCUUCGGCAGCUCCUCUUGGGAGCUUUCACACCACGGCCGCCUGCGUCGCUGCGUCGGCAGCGAUGGGAGAGGCUCCGCGGCGCAGACGUGGAGGCGGCAGCGAAGCUCUCCUACGCACGACGCACUCCCCUUGAAAUAGAUGCACCCACCCCCUCGUCACCCAGCCCAGCGCAGCAGCAGGCGCCCGUCAGCACAGUGCAGCUCAGCUCAGCAUGGCAUGGCAUGGUACAGUAUGGCGCUGCAUGGCACGGGGACCACAGAAGGGCACGUAAGACUUAACGAAGAGGCUCUAAUUAAGAAGCAGCACCACGCGACCCCGAGGCAUGCUGUCUGCAGAGGUGGCCACGAGAUUGGCUGGCCCCGAUGCUCCCCGUAGGCUGCUCCUGGAGGUUUCUGCGAAGACACCCGCUGGCCCCACCACGAGCGCCUCUGGAGUGGCUGGGGCAGGGAUCCCACCCCAGGCGAGGCGCAGGCUGCGGUGUGUGGGGUCCAGCUGGGUGCCCUGAGCACUGCAGGAUGCUCUGAGGGCUGGGGGGGCAGCUGGGGAUGUGGGGGGGGAGGAAAUUGUGGCUGCUUUUGUCUGGCAUCCUUCUCGAUGCAUCCACCUGCCCGCGUGCAAGGAGCCAAGGGCUUAGGAGAGGAGGUGUGGAGCUGGCACCGCUGCAGGAGGUCACAUCCAUCCCCUUCGUCCUCGCUGCUGGGGCUCUUCUCCAGCAUCCCCUGGGCACGCGUGCCACUGGAUGUCCCUGCACUGCCCAGACAAGGUGUAGGUGAGGUUUGGGUGGAAGGUGAGCCCAGCUUCACAGCUCUCCCACCUUCAGGGUGACCUUGACGGCAGCCCUGGACCCGCUCCUCCGCCACUGCUCCUCCUCCACCUCCCCUCCGCGGGCUUCUCUGCUCCAUCCUCACGUGGUCCCCAGGCGCUGGUAUAGUUGCGGUGAAGAACCCGAGCACUAAUAACUCCCAUUAGCACCUUUGGCUGAUGGACGUCAGCGCCAAGGGCCAGAUUCAGUUUCGGCUGCAAGCCCGACUGCUCAUUUCCAGUUGCAAAGAUCAACCAGGAGCUUCGGGGAUUAGAGCGGUGGGUGGAGGGGGAAACGAGAAAUGAAAGAGGAAGAUAAACAUAAAAGUCACACAAAACAAAUAGCUGGCAGUAACU